GACGAACGCUGGCGGCGUGCUUAACACAUGCAGGUCGAACGGAAAGGCCCUGCUUUUGUGGGGUGCUCGAGUGGCGAACGGGUGAGUAACACGUGAGUAACCUGCCCUUGACUUUGGGAUAACUUCAGGAAACUGGGGCUAAUACCGGAUAGGAGCUCCUGCUGCAUGGUGGGGGUUGGAAAGUUUCGGUGGUUGGGGAUGGACUCGCGGCUUAUCAGCUUGUUGGUGGGGUAGUGGCUUACCAAGGCUUUGACGGGUAGCCGGCCUGAGAGGGUGACCGGCCACAUUGGGACUGGGAUACGGGCCGGACUCCUACGGGAGGCAGCAGUGGGGAAUGUUACACAAUAGGCGGAAGCCUGAUGCAGCGACGCCGCGUGCGGGAUGACGGCCUUCGGGUUGUAAACCGCUUUCGCCUGUGACGAAGCGUGAAUGACGGUAAUGGGUAAAGAAGCACCGGCUAACUACGUG
rnacentral:rRNA from 1 species